CCUCCCAAAGUGCUGGGAUUACAGACGUGAGCCACCAUGCCUGGCCAAAAUUUUUAUUUUUUAAAAAAAUCAGCCAUAAGGUAAAUCAGAAAGCAAGAACCCUACCCCACUAGGAGAGGAAAUCAGAUUAUUCCAAUUCUGCCAUCACAGCGGUUCUUUUAAGGAGAACGGUGUUUCUCUGGGCCUUGUAUCUGAUACAGAAUGGAGUGCAUUUUUCCCAUAACUACUUGUUCCAUUUGGAAAACGUGUGUUUGAAAAAGAAGUGAUGUGAUGAUAAAGAAUGAUAUGUUGCUUUAUCAGCAAAUACAGAUCACUCUCUAGAUGCCUCUUCCUUGAAUAUGCUUCUACUCUUAUAAUACACUCUUUUGCCACAAAUAGUUGAGGAAAAUGUUUCUGGUGGAAGGCUUGCAUAUGGUAGGAAUGCAGAGAGUAUGUGUUGGCUGAGCAGCUGGAUGAACAGCCACAGAGGGAUCUUUUGAAAAAUUACCUUUUUCUCCCAUGGCUAAUUGCACACGGACGGCUGAGUGAUCACUCCAGGCCCCAACAGUCAGCCGGCCAUCCGACAAGCCUCAGUCUUGACUUCUUAAGGCAUCAAUUUCUCUGAGGAGCCUUAGACUGUCAAAUUUGAAAAAAGGGGGAGAGUCUCUGAGAUAAAGGAGGUUGUGCCUUCUCUGUCUUUGUUUGUUGGAAAAUGCCUGCGGCCUGGACCCUCAAAGGCUAGGUGAGGGAGGUGGGCUCCUGGGUCUGGUUGCUGACCCGGGGGCUGCCCUCUGCCCCGGCGCCUCCGCCGGUGUCCCCGUCAGGGCGGCUCCUGAAUGAAGCAUUCUUCUCCUGCCAGAAAUCGUUUUAAGAUGGCAGAGUGGUGCCUAGGUGGCGAGUGGUUGUUUUUAUUUUUAUUUUAUUUUGUUUUUUAAGUGAAAGCACACGGAGUCUAGACAGCACGGGUUGAGGGAACCCGCCGUAACAUACAGUGUAACAUUGUUCCUGUCCUUUGAGGAAAGUAAGGACCCUCCAAACUCCAAGAGAGGAGAAGAAUCAGACUUCUGUUUCUAAAGAAAAGUCAUCUUUACCUUUAGCAGUUUCAGACUCUUUCUGGAAUAUUCAGCCAGCCUACCGUCUCACACCGCUUGCUUAUCAAACCACUUGCUUAACUCCGUAACGUGGUUGUUGCAGAGGACAUAAGGGUCUCCAGAGAGAGUGGCGUUACCAAGCAGAGUUUGAUGCCUCACGUCCACCAGUGGGUCUCCCCUCCUGGCAGGGAGCUCCAGCCAGCUCUGCCCCUGAACCUGCCUGCCUGCCUGCCUGUCGGGGUCAUCUGCACCUGAGCUGCGAGUAUCCCCACGGCUAUUCAAGUUUUCCCCAUCAGGGUUCCCAGCUGCUAGGAUCACGUGGCUGAAAAUGAAAAGGAAGUGUUCCCACACAGCCGUUUUCCCAUCUUCUUCUAACUGCCCCCUCUCCACGCACAUUUCUGGGUCCAGCUGUCUACUCUCUUGGCCUCAUUCUGGUUUCUUCCUCUCAUGGUGGAAUCCUAGGACUUUCUGAAUGUCCUGAACCUGCCCUCAGCUGCUUCCCGUGGUGAAGAGCAGAACAAGAGGGAAGACAGAGAAGGGGAGAGGAUGCUACCCUGGUGUGACCAAAGGUCAGACAACUGUGUUCACUGGAUGUUAAGUACAGGAGUCCUCUAGAUGGGUCAUAUGUCCACACCUGCCAGGUUUAUGGUAAUGUCACCCAUGGUCCUGAGGGAGAGGGGCUGGGGUGUUCACAUGUCCACCCCUCUGGUCACGCACAGGGGCAGGAACGAAUAUCCCGGGCACCUCUCUCUACCCCCAGCCCUGGGCUGAGAUGUGAUCAUGGUUCAGGGAGACUGUCCUCGUGGCAAUGACUGACAGGAAGAGCCAAAUGGGCCACCCCUUCUGCACAUCCCUCCUGUGCACCCAGCCUGUGCUCCCAGACUAGCAUCGCAUCCAGUGCCCCCAGAUGACUGCACAGAGCUCGUGCCUCAUCAGCCAUGGUGUCCCCCUGCUGAGCUGCUGUCUCCAAUGCUGCCCCAGUGGCUGGCAUCACAGCCCCUGCCUGCCCCUGAGUCAUGCUCAGGCCCAAAGGCACAGAAAGGCCAUCAGCACAGCACAGUGAGGGCUGCAGAGGAAGGAGCUGGGGCCACGAUGCCAGACCCACCAGACGCAGUCCCUUCAGGAGGCAGCUCCGUCACUUAAAAAAAGGCCAUCUAUGGUGUGAAAAGGACUAGCCAAAAGGGGACCCCAAGUGAUACUCUGGCAUUUCUCAUCUGGACAUUGCACAUUUGGGGACUGUGGGGUUUGAGCCUGUCUCUGUCUGGAUCCACCUGAAAGAUAAGAAGAAGUCCCUGGAAGGGUGGAGAAAAUGAGGAGAGAGGGGACCUCAGAUAGGGCUGGGCCUGGGUGAGAAUCAAGGAGCCAGGUCCCCUGCUCCGAGGCACCAUGGGAUUGUGCUCGGCAGUCUCUUUACUGCCUGGUGUUUACCCUACCCUAGAACAAUCUGAGCCCCAGAACCGAGGUAGUGAUGUCUGAACCACCUCUGCAGGAGCCCACAUGGGGUAGGGCCCAUCAUAGGCAGCUUUCAGGAAAUGCUAAAUCUACAUGCAGAGGCAAGAGGAAAUCACUUGAACUGAAUGACAGCUACUGUUAGCAAAAGCUAGUGUCCUCCAGGAUAGCACUGGAUGAAAGUGCGAGCUGUGCCUGGGCCUCUGUUGUGAUCAUCAAACUCAGAGACCAGAGGCAUGUGACCUACUCCUGGGCACAAAUGGUUUCCGUCUGUUUAGAACCUUUGUCAAUUAAACAAAGGUACGUAGGAUCAGUACAUAGGAUCAUGACCAGUGGCAUCUGCCUGUGCAAAAUGAUUUUAAAAUCUGUGUGUAUUAAAUAGAGGGAUAAAGUUGAUAUUUUUAUAGCUUUUCUUUCAAUGAAAAA